rnacentral:rRNA from 1 species
GAACUUAGCAGAGAUGCUUUGGUGCCUUCGGGAACUCUGAGACAGGUGCUGCAUGGCUGUCGUCAGCUCGUGUUGUGAAAUGUUGGGUUAAGUCCCGCAACGAGCGCAACCCUUAUCCUUUGUUGCCAGCGGUCCGGCCGGGAACUCAAAGGAGACUGCCAGUGAUAAACUGGAGGAAGGUGGGGAUGACGUCAAGUCAUCAUGGCCCUUACGAGUAGGGCUACACACGUGCUACAAUGGCGCAUACAAAGAGAAGCGACCUCGCGAGAGCAAGCGGACCUCAUAAAGUGCGUCGUAGUCCGGAUUGGAGUCUGCAACUCGACUCCAUGAAGUCGGAAUCGCUAGUAAUCGUAGAUCAGAAUGCUACGGCGAAUACGUUCCCGGGCCUUGUACACACCGCCCGUCACACCAUGGGAGUGGGUUGCAAAAGAAGUAGGUAGCUUAACCUUCGGGAGGGCGCUUACCACUUUGUGAUUCAUGACUGGGGUGAAGUCGUAACAAGGUAAGCGUAGACGU